GCACUCUCACAUACAGAGGGAAAUUUUAUGGAAAGGGGCAGACAGGCAAAUGUGCUAAGAAGUGGAUGUAAAACUACACAAAUGGAUAUCACUAUUUUAGGAAGUUUUCUCCAUAAGUUGUAUUGGUGCCAAGAUGUUCUGUUUACUUGUCUCCACAAUGCAACCAUUCAUCACCAUCUCUUCCAACAUGAAGUGCACUUUCUCCAGAUGGAACAUGAUAUCGAGCUCGCACUGGCCAAAAGGGAUGAAAAAAUAAAAGAAAAGCAGCAUCAGCACUACUCACAUAAAUAUUUUUACAAUGCUAAUA
rnacentral:misc_RNA from 1 species